CCUACGGGAGGCAGCAGUGGGGAAUAUUGCACAAUGGGCGAAAGCCUGAUGCAGCAACGCCGCGUGAGCGAUGAAGGCCUUCGGGUCGUAAAGCUCUGUCCUCAAGGAAGAUAAUGACGGUACUUGAGGAGGAAGCCCCGGCUAACUACGUGCCAGCAGCCGCGGUAAUACGUAGGGGGCUGGCGUUAUCCGGAUUUAUUGGGUUUAAAGGGUGCGUAGGCUGUGAGGUAAGUCAGCGGUGAAAUGCCCCCGCCCAACGGGGUGAAGUGCCAUUGAUACUGCCUUGCUGGAAUGCGGAUGCCGUGGGAGGAAUGUGUGGUGUAGCGGUGAAAUGCAUAGAUAUCACACAGAACACCGAUUGCGAAGGCAUCUCACGAAUCCGCGAUUGACGCUGAUGCACGAAAGCGUGGGUAUCAAACAGGAUUAGAUACCCUUGUAGUC
rnacentral:rRNA from 1 species